CCUACGGGGGGCUGCAGUGGGGAAUAUUGCGCAAUGGGCGAAAGCCUGACGCAGCGACGCCGCGUGAGGGAUGAAGGUCCUCGGAUCGUAAACCUCUGUCAGCAUGGAAGAACGGUCACUGUGCUAAUCAGCAGUGAAUUGACGGUACCUGCAAAGGAAGCACCGGCUAACUCGGUCCCAGCAGCCGCGGUAAUACGGAGGGUGCGGGCGUUAAACGGAAUUACUGGGCGUAAAGCGCUCGUAGGCGGUAUGUCAAGUCAAGGGUGAAAGCCCCGCGCUCAACGUGGGAACUGCCGUUGAAACUGGCAAACUAGAGUAUGUGAGAGGAUAGUGGAAUUCCAGGUGUAGGAGUGAAAUCCGUAGAUAUCUGGAGGAACAUCAGUGGCGAAGGCGACUAUCUGGCCCAUAACUGACGCUGAGGAGCGAAGGCGUGGGUAGCAAACGGGAUUAGAUACCCCAGUUGUC
rnacentral:rRNA from 1 species